rnacentral:rRNA from 1 species
UACGUAGGGGGCAAGCGUUGUCCGGAUUCAUUGGGCGUAAAGAGCGUGUAGGCGGCCAGGUAGGUCGGUUGUGAAAACUGGAGGCUCAACCUUCAGAGGUCGACCGAAACCAUCUGGCUAGAGUCCGGGAGAGGAGAGUGGAAUUCCUAGUGUAGAGGUGAAAUUCGUAGAUAUUAGGAAGAACACCAGUGGCGAAGGCGGCUCACUGGUCCGGUACUGACGCUGAGGUGCGAAAGCGUGGGGAGCAAACAGG